rnacentral:rRNA from 1 species
GUGUGUGUUGGAAGGGCACACGGUGGAUGCCUUGGCAUUUCGAGCCGAUGAAGGACGUGGAAGGCCGCGAUAGGCCUCGGGGAGUUGUCAAUCAAGCGUUGAUCCGAGGGUGUCCGAAUGGGGAAACCUGGCCACUGUGAUUGGUGGUGACCCUAGUGUGAAUGCAUAGCGCUAGUGGGGGUAGACGUAGGGAAGUGAAACAUCUCAGUACCUACAGGAAGAGAAAACAAUUGUGAUUCUGCUAGUAGUGGCGAACGAACGUGGAUGAGGCUAAACCGUAUGCGUGUGAUACCUGUGCCAGGGUUGCGUGUGUGGUGUUGUGGGGCGUGGCUGUUCGUGGUGGCAUGACACGAGAGCAUGAUUGAUGCUGUAAGCGGAAGUGGUGUGGAAUCGCCUGCCGGAGAAGGUGAGAGUCCUGUACGUGAAUGCAGUGUUGGUGGUGUUGGGCCAUGUGUUAUACCCCGAGUAGCAGCGGGCUCGUGGAAUCUGCUGUGAAUCUGCCGGGACCACCCGGUAAGCCUAAAUACUCCGAAAUGACCGAUAGCGGAUGUAGUACCGUGAGGGAAUGGUGAAAAGCACCCAGGGGAGUGAAAGAGUACCUGAAACCGUGUGCUUACAAACCGUCAGAGCCGUGCUUGCGUGCCCUGUUGUGGGGUGUGUGGGUGGUGAUGGCGUGCCUUUUGAAGAAUGAGCCUGCGAGUCAGCGGCAUGUCGCGAGGUUAACCAUGAGUGUGGGUAGCCGUAGCGAAAGCGAAUCCUAACUAGGGUGAGUGUUAGUGGCAUGUCCUGGACCCGAAGCGGAGUGAUCUACCCAUGGCCAGUGUGAAGCAGCUGUAAGAGGUUGUGGAGGCGCGAACCCACUUAGGUUGAAAACUGAGGGGAUGAGCUGUGGGUAGGGGUGAAAGGCCAAUCAAACUCCGUGAUAGCUGGUUCUCCCCGAAAUGCAUUUAGGUGCAGCGUUGUAUGGUGCUUCCUGGAGGUAGAGCGACUGGUUGGUUGAGCGGGACUACCAUCUUAGCAAUGUCAGCCAAACUCCGAAUGCCAGUGAAUGCUAGUACAGCAGUGAGACUGCGGGGAUAAGCUCCGUUGGUCGAAAGGAAACAGCCCAGAUCGCCGGUUAAGGCCCCUAAGGGUGUACUAAGUGGAAAAGGAUGUGGGAUCGCGAAGACAGCCAGGAGGUUGGCUUAGAAGCAGCCAUCCUUGAAAGAGUGCGUAAUAGCUCACUGGUCGAGUGGUUCUGCGCCGACAAUGUAGUGGGGCUCAAGUACACCGCCGAAACCGCGGCAACACACCUGUUGUGGUGUGUUGGGUAGGGGAGCGUCGUGCACUGCGUGGAAGCAUCCGAGUGAUCGUGGUGUGGAGUGUGCGCGAGUGAGAAUGCAGGCAUGAGUAACGAAUGAGCAGUGAAAACCUGCUCCGCCGAAUGACGAAGGGUUCCUGGGUCAAGCUAAUCUUCCCAGGGUGAGUCGGGACCUAAGGCGAGGCCGACAGGCGUAGUCGAUGGACAACCAGUUGAUAUUCUGGUACCUCACAACAGCCGUCCAUGACGAAGCAGUGGUACUAACCACCCACCCCAACCCGCAACAACCACUUGUGGUUGUGUGGUGUUGGGUGUGCGUGGGACCUUCAUUGGUAGUAGUCAAGCGAUGGGGUGACACAGGUUGGUAGCCACGCCACGAGGUUGGUUUUCGUGGUGUAAGCGUGCAGCCCGUCUACUAGGCAAAUCCGGUAGGCAUCAUGGGUCAGGCGUGAUACGAAUCCCACUAUGAGUGGGGAAGGUGGUGAUCCUGGACUGUCGAGAAAAGCCUCUAGCGAGGAUGUUGUGAGCCCGUACCCCAAACCGACACAGGUCGUCAAGUAGAGUAUACUCAGGCGAACGGGUGAACUGUGGUUAAGGAACUCGGCAAAAUGCCCCCCGUAACUUCGGGAGAAGGGGGGCCACCGAAGAUCACCAGCCCAUGCGGUUGGUUGGUGUUUGGUGGUCGCAGAGAAUAGAGGGAAGCGACUGUUUAUUAAAAACACAGGUCCGUGCGAAAACGUGGAAGUUGAUGUAUACGGACUGACGCCUGCCCGGUGCUGGAAGGUUAAGAGGACCUGUUAGAACCCCUGUGGGGUUCGAAGCGGAGAAUUUAAGCCCCAGUAAACGGCGGUGGUAACUAUAACCAUCCUAAGGUAGCGAAAUUCCUUGUCGGGUAAGUUCCGACCUGCACGAAUGGCGUAACGACUUCCCUGCUGUCUCAACCACAGGCCCGGUGAAAUUGCAGUACGAGUAAAGAUGCUCGUUACGCGCGGCAGGACGAAAAGACCCCGGGGACCUUCACUAUAGCUUGGUAUUGAUAUUCGGUUCGGUUUGUGUAGCAUAGGUGGGAGACGUUAUCAGCACACCACGCCAGUGGGAGUGUCAGUCACAGGUGAAAUACCACUCUGAUCGAAUUGGGUAUCUAUCAACCUCGGCCCAUGAUCUGGGUCAGGGACAGUGCCUGGUGGGUAGUUUAACUGGGGCGGUUGCCUCCUAAACAGUAACGGAGGCGCCCAAAGGUUCCCUCAGCCUGGUUGGCAAUCAGGUGGUGAGUGUAAGUGCACAAGGGAGCUUGACUGUGAGAGUGACAACUCAAGCAGGGACGAAAGUCGGGACUAGUGAUCCGGCACCGACGAGUGGAAGUGGUGUCGCUCAACGGAUAAAAGGUACCCCGGGGAUAACAGGCUGAUCUUCCCCAAGAGUCCAUAUCGACGGGAUGGUUUGGCACCUCGAUGUCGGCUCGUCGCAUCCUGGGGCUGGAGUAGGUCCCAAGGGUUGGGCUGUUCGCCCAUUAAAGCGGCACGCGAGCUGGGUUUAGAACGUCGUGAGACAGUUCGGUCUCUAUCCGCCGCGCGCGUAGAAACUUGCAGAAGGCUGUCCCUAGUACGAGAGGACCGGGACGGACGUACCUCUAGUGCGCCAGUUGUCACGCCAGUGGCACGGCUGGUUGGCUACGUACGGAAGGGAUAACCGCUGAAAGCAUCUAAGCGGGAAGCCUGUUUUAAGAUGAGGUUUCAAUAUCAGGUGCCCGGUAGACCACCGGGUUGAUAGGCCAGAACUGGACAUACCGCAAGGUCAUGCAGGUGACUGGUACUAAUCCACCGAACAACACACCAAA